rnacentral:rRNA from 1 species
AGUGAACGCUGGCGGUAGGCCUAACACAUGCAAGUCGAACGGCAGCACAGUAAGAGCUUGCUCUUACGGGUGGCGAGUGGCGGACGGGUGAGGAAUACAUCGGAAUCUACUUUUUCGUGGGGGUUAACGUAGGGAAACUUACGCUAAUACCGCAUACGACCUACGAGUGAAAGCAGGGGAUCUUCGGACCUUGCGCGGUUGAAUGAGCCGAUGUCGGAUUAGCUAGUUGGCGGGGUAAAUGCCCACCAAGGCGACGAUCCGUAGCUGGUCUGAGAGGUGGAUCGGCCACACGGGAACUGAGACAGGGUCCAGACUACUAAGGGAGGCAGCAGUGGGGAAUAUUGGACAAAGGGCGCAAGCAUGAUCCAGCCAUCCGGCGCGGGUGAAGAAGGCGUUCGGGUUGUAAAGACCUUUUGUUGGGAAAGAAAAGCAGCAGGUUAAGACGCAGCUGUUCUGACGGUACCCAAAGAAUAAGCACCGGCUAACUUCGUG